UUUGAAUAUGCAGAAAAAGUGGGUAUGUCCUGUAAUCUAUGCUAGCUUUUCUCGUUUACAGGGUACUCACAAAAUAUGUCUCCCUUAGUGUCCCACAGAAACAUUCUGGGUGAAAUCUGAAUUAAGGUAUGUGUUUUCAAAUAAGUAAUCAGUUUAGAUAUUUGCCUGUGUACCUUUUCCUGUAAUUCAGAGCUUGUGUUCUGUGGGUUUUAUGAUAAACCUGUAAAACAUGUAAGAAUGGUUUUGCAAGUCUGAAUCGUUGAAGGCAGCAAUAAGUGGAUUUAAAGCCUGUUCUUGAGCAGACAAAGGGGAAAAGUGUGACUCUGAUGCUGAACUUGUCAUUUUUCAUUUGACUUGCCUUUAAUUAUUGAAGAAGAGAGAGAACUAGGAAAAGAAAUAGAAUUGAUUAUUGAGCACUCCUAAAAAGCUCACCAUGAUUCUGUGUAGAGCCAAAGUGAAGGAUGAUGGAACAGAGCUCUGUGCAUUAGAAGGAAAUAAACCUGAUGUCCACACAGAGUCUUACUAAUUUCUGUUUUUAAAAUGCAAAAUAAGUUUAGGAAGUGUUGGAAGUUAGUAUUUUGGGAAAGAAAUGGCAGUUCCACAAAACAUUCCAUUCCAUUUAAGAGAGGCCCUUGGACUGAUUCAUGUUGUAACUGCUGUCACUGCAAUCAGUUGGUGGUUCAGCCUUGAAACGUGCACUUGGCCUUCUAUAAAGCACUGUUUUGUUUGCCUUUCAGUGCUAUGAGUCUUGAUAAAUUGGAGAAGUGCCCAAGAGAAAUUCAUCAUCCUGAGAUACAAAAGCUCCUGGUCGGCUAAUGAGCGAAUGUCUGCGUGACCUCUGUCAUGGAGCCAUUUCUCCACACUAUACUAUCAAAGUUUAAAGGUAAAUUAUUAUAUAUUAGGAGAUGGUGUAAAGUGUAUGUUGUAAUGUGUAGGAUAUAUACAAAGAUACGUACUUGAAAGUCCGUAGAGGAAACAAAUUUUUACGCCUUCUGUUUGACUGUUUGUCAUAUAUUUGGUUUUAUUUCCCAGGGAUCAGUGAAUUUUAACUCUGGAGUCCUCUAUGCUAAGGAUGCUCAGCUUACAGAUGAUGAAAUGUUCAGUAAUGUAUUUGCUGGAGCUGUGCUUACCCAAGGUUUGGGUAAAACAAGCUUUGGGUUCCCUCUGUCUCACUGGGAGUUGCCCAGUUCAGUUGCAUCUGGUGAAAUUCACCCUGAGACCUUACAGAACCAGCUCCAACUACGUGAGAGCCAUUUGCAGUUCUCUCCAGACACCUGGAGAAUGGGCGACGUUUCUGAGGAUCCGGCGAGCGUGCUUCUGUCAAAACUCAGUCUGUGAAAUUUCUGGGGAAAACCCUUCUGUGUCCUGAAGGGUUCAAACUCUGGCGAGGAUCCAGUUAUCAGGUGCUCACCUGGAUGGUUCCAGCUGCCAAAGGUAACACUUGUACUCUUGCCCUGUAGUUUACAUCUAUUGUAUUUUUGUUAUUUUGCAGGAUUUUUUGUCUUUGCAAAAUAUUGUGCAUUUCACUCUUUGGAACCUCUCAGAUGGUUCUUUGGUGCAGCACCACCCCAUGGGACACUUGGCUGCUGUCCUGAAGGGGUUGGUCGCUAGAAUUGUGAAUCCUGGAGAGUUUGUAAGUCUUCUGUCCCCAGGGAGGUGUCAUGCUUUGUUUACUUUUGUUCUGUUGGUUAGGCGCUGCUUCUCGUUGCAAGUAUGAAUUUCAAACUGCCCUGUUCUUUUUUUAACUGUUUUCCUGGUUCUCUCCGUCCGGCAGGGAAAGACUCUCGUAUCCUUGUCAUUGGGCUCGGUGCUGUCCAAGAAGAUACAGAGACUAAAAAAAUCAUAAGAAGCAAAAUAUGACUGCAGGGAAAAGAAGCUGGAGAGAAUAGAAGGUGAUGUUGUUAUCCUUACCCUGUAUUAGAAACAUCCGCUGUGCUUUGAUGCUGGCAGCUGCCAGGGGCUUGUUAGCUCUUUGUAGGCAGGUGUAGGUGUUCACUUGUAGUUUUUUUCUCUGUUCAAGUCAAUUCAAACUUUGCUAAGCUUACAUUUGAAAAUUACUCUCUAGAACAGUCCAGCAUGACAUGCUGGAUGUCGUCUCCCAGAGGGACCCAAAACUGCCAUAAAUUUCACAGGGAGGGAUGGGUGUAGAAUACUAAAACCUGUCAAGGUUUUCAUUUUUAUAGGUAUUGGCAAAGAAAAGGAAUUUAUCUCUAAAUUCAUUUGGAAAGAAACCCUCUCUCUAUCCACUUAUUUGUAUACAGGAAUGUAGGAAACUCUGACUAGAGAUGGGUAAUAGCUUUGAAAAUAAAGACAUAAGUUUUAUCUAGGAAUGAACCAAUCAAGUGCCCUGAAAGCAUGAGAACAGCUGCAGGGGCUGAAGGGAACAGAAAGGGUUCUAUCUCAUGAACAGAGGUACCUUUUCCUUACAGGUGCUUGUGCUGUAGUUUGGAUUCUGCUUCCUAACAUUUCUAGUGUGACAGGGUUUACCAUAGAGACAAUCUGCCAGGAGGUAGCGCUUUGGGGGGUAUGGCAGUCCUGGAU